rnacentral:RNase_P_RNA from 1 species
GGAGUCGGCCGGGUGAUCGCUGCAUUGCGCCCCGAAAGAGGCAAAAUGGAGAGGAAAGUCCGGGCUCCGGCGGACGAGGUGCCAGGUAACGCCUGGGGGGCGUGAGCCCACGGAAAGUGCAACAGAGAGCAGACCGCCCAAGCGCCGGCAACGGCGACGGCAAGGGUGAAAGGGUGCGGUAAGAGCGCACCGCGCCGGUGGCAACACACGGCGGCACGGCAAACCCCACCUGGAGCAAGGCCAAAUAGGGGAAGCAGCGGUCCCGGGCGCAGGCCCUGGACUGCAGCGCGGUCCGUGCGCGCUUCCGGGUAGGCCGCUCGAGGCCCGUGGUGACACGGGUCCUAGAGGAAUGAUUGCCCUCGACAGAACCCGGCUUACAGGCCGACUCCAUCU